rnacentral:rRNA from 1 species
UACGUAGGGGGCAAGCGUUGUCCGGAAUCAUUGGGCGUAAAGAGCGUGUAGGCGGCCCGGUAAGUCCGCUGUGAAAGUCGAGGGCUCAACCCUCGAAUGCCGGCGGAUACUGUCGGGCUAGAGUCCGGAAGAGGCGAGUGGAAUUCCUGGUGUAGCGGUGAAAUGCGCAGAUAUCAGGAGGAACACCUACGGCGAAGGCAGCUCGCUGGGACGGUACUGACGCUGAGACGCGAAAGCGUGGGGAGCGAACAGG